ACUUUCGAUGUGAUUCUUUUCAUUUUAUACAAUGUACCAUAUCAUAUCUAUAUAUUAUAUUGUUCUAUGAUUCUAUCAUAUACUUUUUAUCUAUUCUGUGGCUCUAUUGUCACUAUUUUUCGUUUCCAGUCCUGUUAAUCAUAGCCCGUGAUAUGGACCAAUCACAACAAAGGACGCUAAAAUCGGUAGGCCGCGUCGCCGCGUCGGACGCUUAAAUCAUUGUUGAAUUCUGUUUCUGUAAUCUGUGAAAAAAAGGGAAAAAGCCGGUGCGGCGGUGCCCAGUAAGUAAGCCACUUUUAUGUAUUUGAAAAUUAUCUUAAUAACCGUCUUGGAUAUGAUCUAAAAUUUAGUUAUAAAUUUUAAAGUUUAAACACAAUCAAAAUAUUAGAUAGUGCGCAUCGUAAAGCAGUUAACGGUAAUACGCCAUAGGUUAAAAUAAAGUUGGGUACUAUUUUCAUAAACACUUUUAAUAACAAGUUAUCUGAAGUUAAAUUAUUGUAUAUUAUGUUGCUAUAAUUCUACAUCCUCUGAAAAUACAUACUUCAAUAACAAUUCUGUUUAUUAAAAACUAAUAUACAACGACUGAAUGACAUGUAGUCAUAUAGAUGAGAUUUUAAGAAAGUUAUCAUCUGCAUUUUAUUGUACUUACCUGAGAGCCCUUAAGUAUUUAUUUUAAGAAAAUAAUUUCUAUAUAUUAUAGUAUUUAUAUUCUUCUACAUGCUAAAAUAAAUAAACUAAUAAAUUCCAACAUGAGAUAUUUGUUUUUAUUGUUACUAGAAGAAAAGCAAAUGCUCGCCAAAAUCAUGUUCCACUAUAAAUGUAGAAACAACAUUUAUCCUAAAACAGAUGGCAAAAUUGUUCGAUUUCAUGUACCAGAUGAUAAAGUUAGUUGGAAUUCCCCAUAUCCUAUGUAUAAUCCAACAUUGUUUACAUCAACAUGUAUUGUUGGUCAACCAUGGGCUGAUCUAGAUUUGAAUGUAUCUGAUUUCCAACCCAGUUGGAAUUCAAUUGAUGGUUAUGUUAAUAGAAUUAGUUUGACUGGAAAGUAUGAAAUUAAAAAUGGCUAUCCCCUGAAUCCUUGUGGCCGAACUGGUAUAACUGGCCGUGGAGUUCUUGGUCGUUGGGGCCCAAAUCAUGCUGCUGAUCCAAUUGUUACUCGUUGGAAAAAAUCUAAAAAUGAACAUGUAUUUAAUGAAAACAGUGAUAAACCUAUUCUUCAGUUUGUUGCCAUUAAAAGAAAAGAUUCCGGUGAGUGGGCAUUACCUGGUGGUAUGGUUGAUUCUGGAGAAGUAAUUUCUUCUACUCUGAAGAGAGAAUUCAUGGAAGAAGCUAUGGACUUGCUGCAAAAAUCUAAAGAAGAUGCUGUAAAAAUAGAAAAAGAAAUAACGGAAAUAUUUAAUGAAGGCAUAGAAGUUUUUUGUGGAUAUGUUGAUGAUCCUAGAAACACGGAUAAUGCUUGGAUGGAAACCAUUGCAACUCUUUUUCAUGAUGAGAAAGGAGAUCAUGUAGGAAUGUUAAAACUUCACGCAGGAGAUGAUGCAGUUGGAGUGAAAUGGGUAGAUUUAGAUAGAAAUCUGAAAUUAUAUGCCAAUCAUAUAUCAUUUUUAGAGGAAAUUGCUACCAGAUUAAAAUGUCAUUGGUGAUUUAAUUUAAUUAAUAUUCUUAAAUUAUUAAUACAUAUACAUACAUAGUUAAUAAUUUCAAUGGUUGAUAAUAUUUUUUGUAAAAUUUAAGAUAUAGUAAUUAAUUUUAUUAAAUAAAUAAUAAUAAACUUAUAUAAUAUACAACUUGAAUGAUUCCAUUUAUUUUAUUUUAUUUUUCAAUAAACAAACAUUCUUUACUUUAAAUUUACAAUUGUUAUUAUUAAUGCUCGGAAAUUAAGUUUUUUAAGUUAAAAUUUAUAAAAUAUGCAAAUAAAAAUAUUAAACUUGAACAUUUUUUUUUAGAAAAGCAUAUUAAUUAUUAGUUACAUAAUGGUAUAUUAGUAUAAAUAUAAUAGAUAUACAUUUUUUUUAAAAAAACAAUCACAUAUCUACAUAUUAUGAUAUUAAUGAAAUGUGGUUGGAAACUGGUGAAGGUCAUCAUUAGAUCAAUUUGUAGGGAGGUAAAAACUUAAGGAAGUUACCGUACACACUUAUGUUGUCUCUGACUGGAAUUACCAUAAGUGUUUUACCAUCUUAGGCAUGAUAUAAUUUAAACAAAUUGUCCGAUUAUAGAAUUUUGUAUUAUUAUUAAAUUUGAAAACAUUCUAUAA